CCCCCGCCGGGGCCUGGCGGGGGAGGGGAGAUAAUCCUCCCGAGCAGAAGCGCCGUCGGGAGGCUCGGGUGGGCCUCCCCCCGGCCGCGAGGCCCAGCGAUGAGGAGGACCCAAGAGAAGCGCGGGGAAGCAGGAGCGCAGGGCCUGGGCAGGCCGCGGAACCUGAUCCUCAGCUCCUCAAUUGCCCUCGGCCCUGCAGCUCCUUCACCCUGUCAGCGAGCAGAGAAUCACCUCAAACACCCAGGAUUCCCUUUUUCUGCAUCACCGUGUCACACGUGUGACAGUCAGAAGAGCCGAUGCUGGGGAACAUGGGAGGAAAUGGAAACAGGCCCAGCUAUUGUGAAGAAAAAUUCUGGAGAACAAUUCUGAAGUGCUCAGGGAGGUUGCCUCUGCCUAGACCGGCACCUAGGAUCUCCACCCUCAGGCAUCACCUCCAGAAAGUCUCCCAGCCCAUCAAGAAGAUGGAAAGGUCUGCUCAUUCCAGUGUGUCCCCAAGAGUGGAGCAGAAACAACCUGGGCUCCCCCAGAGGGAAGCAGCAUUGACUCAGCAGGAACCCAGUCCCAUGGAGAGGCCCCUGAAGGGGUCUCUCACAGCAGCACCAGCCCCAGAUAAAGGAGCAGCUGUGCUGUAGAUGAGCCCCAUGUGCUACCACACACUUCGAGAUUCCCAACUGGGGCCCAGACUUCAUGAACUGGAGAUGAGCCAUCAUGAUCCAGAGGGGCUCCGAGCACUCUCACAAACGGCUGUUUUGCUGUUUGGGGGAUUGUGUACGCAGCUGUAGUAAGGGAACAGCAGCAUGUGAAUUCUGGAUUAGUACAUAGCAGUUACAAAAAGGAACAGAGGAGACGGUGCCGUAACCCACUACUCUGAGGCUGGAGCAAGGAUCACAAGUUCAAGGCUAGCCUGGGCAACUUAGUGAAGACCUGUCUUAAAAUAAAUAAAUAAAUAAAUAGAAAGGGUUGGGGAUGCAGUUCAGUAGCAAAGCACUUGCCCAGCAUUCCUGAGUCCCUGGGUUCCAUCCCUAGCACCUGGGGGCACGGUGUUCCUGCAAGGAUCAACAUAGAUCUAUCAACACAGGUACAACGCACACAUACACAGCAGGUUCGGCACCCUUAGAUUCCACCAAUCACAGAUCAGAAAAUAUUCAAAAGAUGGGCUUGAUUCCCAACACUGCAAAAUAGAUUCAUAUGUAUAUACACAUAUAUAUGAAAACCUGCACUGAACAGGUAGACUGUCUUCUUGUCAUGAUUCCCAAAUAAAGUACAACAGCUUUUUACAUUGUAUCUGGUAUCACAAGGCUUUAGCUAUGACUUAAACUACACAGAGAUUUGCAUAGGUCUGAUACAAAUACAGCUCUAUUGUAUAUCAGGGACUUGAGAAUCCUCACAGUUUGGUAUGAUACGGGAAGGGGGGUCCUGGAAUCCCCACUAGGGGGUCAACUAGAUUUUUUAAUGAGAAGUAGAAGCAUAUAAUGUUGUAUUGUUUUUGUAAAUUAAUACAUAAAAGCAGGCACUUGGGACAGCAGGGAAUGAGGUAAAGAGAAACAAGAUUGGGAUGAAGGAUGAAAGAAACAAAAAUAAAAUCUAAAUUGUAAAAUUGUUCCG